UACGUAGGUGGCAAGCGUUGUCCGGAAUUAUUGGGCGUAAAGCGCGCGCAGGUGGUCGUUUAAGUCUGAUGUGAAAGCCCCCGGCUCAACCGGGGAGGGUCAUCGGAAACUGAACGACUUGAGUACAGGAGAGAAGAGUGGAAUUCCACGUGUAGCGGUGAAAUGCGUAGAUAUGUGGAGGAACACCAGUGGCGAAGGCGGCUCUCUGGUUCACACCUGACGCUGAGGGGCGAAAGCGUGGGGAGCGAACGGG
rnacentral:rRNA from 1 species